CUGUAGUCUCAGCAACAUGACUGCACCAGCAGGAGCCGAGCAAGAAGGACACAAAUGAACAUGUCAAACUGCAUAGAGCUAUUAAAGCCCAUUAGUUCCCAGCCCUACAAGAAGGAUUAGAGGCAAAUUCUCUCUUGCUGUGUUCUUUUAUGGCUUUCCCAAUCAAAAGGAUUGAACCUUUUGUUCUACCCAGAUUGAAACUAUGACAGACAAGAAGCUCUCACAGUGCUGAAAGUUCUCAGCCUCUAAGUGUCCAAUGUAGAGCCAGAACUCAAAACGUGAAGAUCUAGGGACUAUUGUUUCCAGUAUUAAGUGUUUUCUUGCUCUGAGAUUUUAUCAGUAGCAACACAUGUGGCUGCUAUGGCAAUCAUAGGCUUCCAGCAACUCUUGAGUAGUGAUAGCAGACAACAGCAGACAGAACCAGCUGUGGUGAGAGAGCUGUGUCAUCGAGGUCAGGAUUCUCUAUGUUCGAUAGUGAAGUAGUUUUCAGAUCUGCAGUUAUGGGCCUGGAGGCUCAGCAGCGUCCUGGAAGGUUUCCUUCUUUCGCCAAAGACCUGAACUUAAAACCAGAUCCACUAAAUUGAGAGAAGAGAAAGUGAGGAAUAGCCUUGAACACACGGGGACAGGAGACACCUCCCCAUACAAAACACCAACAGCUCAAACACUGAGAUAAACAACGAAUAAAUGCCACCUCAUGAAACGGAAAAGCUUCUGUGAUACAAAGGACACUGUCAAAAGUACAAGAGAGUAGCUGAUUGAACGGGAAAAGAUCCUCACCAACCCUAAAACAAAGAGGAUUAAUAUCCAAAAUAUGUAAAGAAUUGAAGAAAUUAGAAACAAAUCAAACUAUCCUGUUAAAACAUGGCAUACAGAGAAAAACAGAGAAUUCUCAAUGGCCAAGAUGCACUUAAAGACAUAUCCAAAGUCCUUAGUCAUCAGGAAAAUGCAAAUACAAAUGUCUUUGAUAUUCUGUCAUAUCUGUCAGAAUGGCAAAGAUCAAAAACUCAAUUGACAGUUACUGCUGGCAAGGAUAUGGUGCAAGGGGAACAUUCCUUUAUUACCUGUGAGACUGCAAACUUGUACAACUACUUUGGAAAGCAAUCUGGUGGUUUCUCAGGAAGUUGAGAAUAGUUUUAUCUCUAGACCCAGCUCUAUGGCUCCUAGGCAUAUACCCAAAGGAUGCUCUACCAUAGCACAAGGACACUUGGUCAACAAUGUUUAUAGCUGCUUUAUUUGUAAUACCCAGAAAUUGGAAACAACCCAGAUGUCCUUCAGUUGAAUAGAUGAAGAAAAUGUGGUAUAUUUACACAAUGAAAUAUCACCCAGCUAUCAAAACCAAGGACAUCAUGAAAUUUGCAUAUCAAUGGACAGAACUACAAAAUGUAAUCCUGAGUGAGGUAACCCAGAUCCAGGAAGAAACAUGGAAUGUAAUCACUUAUAAGUGGACGAUAUUAGCCAUAAAGUACCGGAUAACCAUGCUACAAUCCCCAGACCCAAAGAAGCUCCUGCUUCCUGACCUGCCUGAAUUCCACUCCUGACUUCCUUUGGUGAUGAACAGCAACGUGGAAAUGUAAGCUGAAUAAACCCUUUCCUCCCCAGCUUGCUUCUUGGUCAUGUUUGUGCAGGAAUAGAAACCCUGACUAAGGCACUUCCUGUAGCCAGGUGGAACUUCGAGUGGAGAGAAGAAGACACCAACACACUCACAAAACCUUCAACCCCACGUUCUCCCUGCCUACAGGAUGUGCAGGGAUAAAGAUGGACAAGAGAUUGAAGGAAUGGCCAUCUAAUGAGUAUCCCAAGUUACAACCCAUCCCAUGUG